UAUAAGGUACUAAAAUAUAUGUAGCAACAAAGCUUUGAUCAAUAGAAUUUCUUAUAAGCCGAGCAAUGAGCUUUGGCUAACAUAAAUAAAAUUGACAAAUUAAAGGAAAAGAGGAAAAAAGUACUAGUAAAUAAUUAACAACUAGAGCAACACAUGAUUCUCAAGCUCAAUCCAUGCAUGGCAUGGAAUAUAUUAUAGAAUAUUGUAGUUUAACUAAUGUCCACCACCUGCUCCAAAUCCAGCACCACCACCCGCACCGAAUCCACCUCCUCCUCCUCCUCCAAAACCACCUCCACCACCAGCACCUCCUCCAACACCACCACCAGCUCCAAAACCUCCUCCCGCUCCAACCCCUCCUCCUACACCUCCACCCCCACCAACACCACCACCGCCACCUAAACCGCCUCCACCACCUAGUCCUCCACCCGCACCAGCUCCACCUCCAAACCCACCUCCAGAGCCCCCACCUACUCCUCCACCUCCUCCGGCUCCACCUCCAAGCCCUCCACCUGCCCCUCCUCCUGCUCCACCCCCAAAACCACCACCUACUCCAGCACCACCACCUAAGCCUCCACCUCCACCUGCUCCACCGCCAAGUCCACCACCAGCACCUCCUCCAACACCACCACCAGCUCCAAAACCUCCUCCCGCUCCAACCCCUCCUCCUACACCUCCACCCCCACCAACACCACCACCGCCACCUAAACCGCCUCCACCACCUAGUCCUCCACCCGCACCAGCUCCACCUCCAAACCCACCUCCAGAGCCC
rnacentral:lncRNA from 1 species